rnacentral:lncRNA from 1 species
CCAACAUGACUGCGUUGUUUAAGUAGCCGAUUGCUCUCUUGUAUGACUGUCAAAUAUUUCAGGUUGCAAGAAAGCUCAAGUAGCCUAUGGAGAGGAUGCAAGGCUUCCAGCUGAUGCCCUCAGCCAGGCUCAGUAGCAGCCAGAACUAGCCUACCAACGAACCUGCUGAUCAUGUGCAUAAGCCACCUUGAACGUCGAUCCUCCUGCCUGGUGGAGCCAUCCCAGCUGAUGCCACAUGAAGCAGACACAAGCUGUCCCUACUAAGCUCUGCUCAAGUUGGAUAUUCAUGAGUGAAAUAAAUGACUGUUACUAAGUAAUUAAUUUUUGGGUGGCUGUUAUGUAGCAGUAGAUAAUUGGAACAAAGCUUAUUGACA